GCCUGGCUGGCUCAUUCGGCAGAGCACAUGACUCUUGAUCUUAGGGUCGUGAGUUUGAGCCCUACCUUAGGCA
rnacentral:tRNA from 1 species